rnacentral:rRNA from 1 species
AGUGAACGCUGGCGGUAGGCCUAACACAUGCAAGUCGAACGGCAGCACAGUAAGAGCUUGCUCUUACGGGUGGCGAGUGGCGGACGGGUGAGGAAUACAUCGGAAUCUACUUUUUCGUGGGGGAUAACGUAGGGACACUUACGCUAAUACCGCAUACGACCUACGGGUGAAAGCAGGGGAUCUUCGGACCUUGCGCGAUUGAAUGAGCCGAUGUCGGAUUAGCUAGUUGGCGGGGUAAAGGCCCGCCAAGGCGACGAUCCGUAGCUGGUCUGAGAGGAUGAUCAGCCACACUGGAACUGAGACACGGUCCAGACUCCUACGGGAGGCAGCAGUGGGGAAUAUUGGACAAUGGGCGCAAGCCUGAUCCAGCCAUACCGCGUGGGUGAAGAAGGCCUUCGGGUUGUAAAGCCCUUUUGUUGGGAAAGAAAAGCAGCAGGUUAAUACCCCGCUGUUCUGACGGUACCCAAAGAAUAAGCACCGGCUAACUUCGUG